rnacentral:lncRNA from 1 species
GUCCAUUUUACUAAAAUUUCAUCCCUCUAAGGUUGGCCACGAAAUCCCUUAAAUUUGGAAGAGGAACCGAUCUAGAUCCGUCAUGUUAUUUAAUUGACGAUAAUCUGCACACCUUCCCCAGCCUCCUUUGGCUUUACGUACUACAUGAAUCGCGGAUGAAAAAUUUGAAGGAGAUGGACGAAUUAUUCCCUUUUCUAGAUGUCCAUCAAUUUAGUUUUUAACAAAAUUGAGUUUAACACCAUCCAGCUUGCGGUAUUUUGCAAAGCCCUUAGUUUCGAUGUGAUGUUCAACUCCAUGAGCUGGGUAAGAUUCAGCGAAUUUUUUAUCAUCGCAAACUUCAGGGUAUUGAGAUUGAAACUAUUGGGCUUCUCAUAAUUCUGAAAUGACGCAUGGAUCAUUAAAAAACAUUUUCUUGUUGAAUAAGUCAAUAUUAAUUUUGUAGAAAUGAAGAAAAUCACCCCCUAAAAUAGGGCGGCCUCUAGAUACAACAAUAAAUUUCCAUUGGAAAGUUCAUAGAUUUUCUAUUUGCACCCUUAGAGUUUUAGUACCGAGAACUUCUACUGGAUUCCCUCCAUAACCAAAGAUAGUUGGCAUUUUAACAUUAAUGAAAUCUUUACCAUUCGUCGGGGAUAUAACGGAUACCUGGGCACCCGUAUCUACAAGAAAAAGGAUUGAAUUUAUAUUGUCUUCAAUUAAUAAGGAAUUUGAAGGAUUAUUUAAUGCUUCGGUCCCAUGCAACCGAGGACAAUUUAGUGUUUUUUGAAUCAAUGAAUUAAAAUGACAAUCAGGACCAGAGCACACAGUUGCAUUCAACCCAAAUUUUGAAUGAUAAUAACAAAUUUUUUUAAAUUUUGCAGAUGUUGAGUACUUCGAAAAAGCUCAUCUAGGUAUCUUCUUAAUCAAAGGUGUGACAGUGGGAGAAGAAGAUGGAUCCUCGACAGUAGAAAUGGAAGUGUUACUGACUUCCUUCGCAGCCGUACACAUUUCUGCUAAAUUCUUAGUUGUAUUCCUCGUCCAGAAGACGUUCGGUCUCAUCUUUUAUCUCCAUGGUCGAGAGCCCGGAAGUAUCAACCAUCAUGUCGACUACUCUUUUUAUCCUUGCGGAAGAUGAUAGCCCAUAUCGGACUAAUAUGGAUUUCUUCGCUCCCUCAUAAGUGAGAUUCUCCUCACUAAUAGGAAUAAUAUUGAAAACCUCACCCGGCAAUGCUGACGCCAUAAGACUAUAUUUAACUUUUGUAUGACAAAUCCCCCUCAACGCAAAACCAUGUUCAAUUCUCCGGAACUAGUCUUCAACAUCCGAAUAACAGAACCUAGGAAGGUGGAGCUCCGCAACGGCCAUUGCUAAAUUCGCCUCUUCCGUUUUAAUCGACCAUGUUUGUUUUUGGGGAGACACAAGUGGUGAAGUUUGCUUUCGGGGCAUUUUUCGAAUAACGUCGGAGUCACCAAUGGUUGUAAAAGUUUAAUGGGGGAAAUCGAAUUCGUACUUGUUGAGGUGUGAGUAAUAUAUAAAUAAUUAUUGAAUAAUAAUAUCAUAACUGAAACAAAUUUUUAUAAAAAGUAACUGCCAAGUGAUUUGAGAUCUUUUUUUGUUUAUUUUUGAUACAAUUGUUGCAAAGUACAAUGAAAGUAAGGACGUGUGAAAUGGUUUUAUUUAAAAAAAAAUCUAAAAUACCUAUAUAUGUUUGAUAUUUUUAGUUGUAGUUAUUGAUAGAGGGUCUCAUUUUCAGCUAAAAUGCUUAUUUAUGUUAUUAUAAUGCAAUUCCUCCAAGAAAUGCAUAUUAUAAUAAUUUUAUGUAUUGUAUAUAUAUACAUAUAUGAUAUGAAUAUAGAUAAUAAAAAUAUAUUCAUAUGCAAUAAAAAUUCUUCUGAGUGACCCUUGGGAGGGGAAUACUAUCACGUAUAUUUAUGUACAAUAUUGUUAUGAGGCAGUGGAUUUCUCACUGAGAAAAAUUUAAUAUAUAAUCUUCCAUCAUCUUAUUCGAAAAGUGUAUAACUUUUAGAAACUGUUUCAAUAUAUGUACAAUAAUGUAAAACUUUUUUAAUAACCUCAUAUCCUUAGUAAUUUUUAAGUAAGAUGAAUGUACAA